UACGUAGGGGGCAAGCGUUGUCCGGAUUUACUGGGCGUAAAGAGCGUGUAGGCGGCCACGCAGGUCCGUUGUGAAAACUGGAGGCUCAACCUCCAGACGUCGACGGAAACCGUAUGGCUAGAGUCCGGAAGAGGAGAGUGGAAUUCCUGGUGUAGCGGUGAAAUGCGCAGAUAUCAGGAAGAACACCAAUGGCGAAGGCAGCUCUCUGGGACGUAACUGACGCUGAGACGCGAAAGCGUGGGGAGCAAACAGG
rnacentral:rRNA from 1 species